rnacentral:rRNA from 1 species
GUGAAAUCCUGCAGCUUAACUGNAGAACUGCCAUUGAUACUGAUAGNCUUGAGUUUGGUUAAGGUAGGCGGAAUGUGUAAUGUAGCGGUGAAAUGCUUAGAUAUUACACAGAACACCAAUUGCGAAGGCAGCUUACUGNACCGANACUGACGCUGAGGCACGAAAGCGUGGGGANCGAACAGGAUUAGAUACCCUGGUAGUCCACGCCGUAAACGAUGAUCACUCGCUGUUGGCGAUACACUGUCAGCGGCUAAGCAAAAGCAUUAAGUGAUCCACCUGGGGAGUACGGCCGCAAGGUUGAAACUCAAAGGAAUUGACGGGGGCCCGCACAAGCGGAGGAACAUGUGGUUUAAUUCGAUGAUACGCGAGGAACCUUACCUGGGCUUAAAUGUAGACUGCA